UACAGAGGUCCCAAGCGUUGUUCGGAUUCACUGGGCGUAAAGGGUGCGUAGGUGGUGAGGUAAGUCGGAUGUGAAAGCUCCGAGCUCAACUCGGAAAUGGCAUUGGAAACUACCUUGCUAGAGGGUUGGAGGGGGGACUGGAAUACUUGGUGUAGCAGUGAAAUGCGUAGAUAUCAAGUGGAACACCAGUGGCGAAGGCGAGUCCCUGGACAAGACCUGACACUGAGGCACGAAAGCCAGGGGAGCAAACAGG
rnacentral:rRNA from 1 species